rnacentral:rRNA from 1 species
CCUACGGGAGGCAGCAGUGAGGAAUAUUGGUCAAUGGGCGGGAGCCUGAACCAGCCAAGCCGCGUGAGGGAAGAAUGUACAGCGUAUCGUAAACCUCUUUUGUCAGGGAACAAAGGCGGGGACUAGUCCCCGUAUGAGGGUACCUGAAGAAAAAGCAUCGGCUAACUCCGUGCCAGCAGCCGCGGUAAUACGGAGGAUGCGAGCGUUAUCCGGAUUUAUUGGGUUUAAAGGGUGCGCGGGGGGCCUGUUAAGUCAGCGGUAAAAGCCCGGGGCUCAACCCAGGCGAGCCGGUGAAACUGGCGGGCUGGAGUUGGAGAGAGGUAGGCGGAAUGCGCGGUGUAGCGGUGAAAUGCUUAGAUAUCGCGAAGAACUCCGAUUGCGAAGGCAGCGUACCGGCUCCACACUGACGCUGAGGCACGAAAGCGUGGGUAUCGAACAGGAUUAGAUACCCGGGUAGUC